rnacentral:misc_RNA from 1 species
UCUCCGUUGGUGAACCAGCGGAGGGAUCAUUGCUGGAAGCGUCUCACGGCGCACCCAGAUACCCUUUGUGAACCUAUACCUAUCUGUUGCCUCGGCAGUGGUUGCUUCCCCGGAAGCCCUGGCCCCCGCGCCAGGAGCCGACCGGCCGACGGCCCCCUAUAAACUCUUGUUUUCUAGUAAAAUCCUCUGAGUAACAAAACAACUAAAUGAAUCAAAACUUUCAACAACGGAUCUCUUGGUUCUGGCAUCGAUGAAGAACGCAGC